UGGGGAAUAUUGGACAAUGGGCGAAAGCCUGAUCCAGCAAUACCGCGUGUGUGAAGAAGGCCUUAGGGUUGUAAAGCACUUUCAAUUGGAAGGAAAAAAGUGAGGUCAAUACCCUCACUCUUGACAUUACCUUUAGAAGAAGCACCGGCUAACUCCGUGCCAGCAGCCGCGGUAAUACGGAGGGUGCGAGCGUUAAUCGGAAUUACUGGGCGUAAAGCGUGCGUAGGCGGCUUAUUAAGUCAGAUGUGAAAGCCCCGGGCUUAACCUGGGAACUGCAUUUGAAACUGGUAGGCUAGAGUUGAGUAGAGGGGAGUGGAAUUUCAGGUGUAGCGGUGGAAUGCGCAGAUAUCAGGAGGAACACCAAUGGCGAAGGCAGGUCUCUGGGCCAUUACUGACACUGAGGAGCGAAAGCGUGGGGAGCGAACAGG
rnacentral:rRNA from 1 species